rnacentral:rRNA from 1 species
AUGGCUGCUCCCAAAGCUCUCAUCUGCGCCAUGAUCAUACUGCUUGGAGUCGUCGGCUUCACCUGCCCUCGCGCCUCGGCAGGGCGUGUGCCAUCGGUCGCUCCGGUGCCUGUCCGUUGUGCAUCCACUGGCGAAUCAAACAUCGUAUCUGCAGGAACAGGAACAGGAGGAUGCGGUGGCAGCGCUCCAGCUGCCGCAGAAGAGAAGGCCCUGCUCCCGGUGCGCCUUCCGCCCCGCCUCCCGCCGUCGCGCGAAAACCUGCUCAAAACUCCACCACGAAGCAUCCACUAA